UGCAAGUCGAACGGGAACUAUAUAACAGAUCCUUCGGGUGAAGACUUAUAGGGAACGUGGCGAAAGUGUGAGUAAUAAAUGGAUAACCUACCCUCCAGAUCGGGAUAAUCCAUCGAAAGUGUGGGGUAAUACCGGAUGGUCUGGCAGUCUUAUCAGUCUGUCAGUAAAGGUUGCUUCGGCAUCUGCUGGAGGAGGGGUUCAUUUCCUAUUAGCUUGUUGGUAAGGUAAUGGCUUACCAAGGCAUAGAUGGGUAGGGGGCCUUAGCGGGUGAUCCCCCACACUGGGACUGAGACACUGCCCAGGUUCCUACGGGAGGCUGCAAUCGAGAAUCCUCCGCAAUGGGCGAAAGCCUGACGGGGUGACGCCGCGUGGACGAUGAAGGCCUAUCAGGUUGUAAAGUCCUAACAGGGAGUAUGAAAAUCGGCGGGUCCAAUAGGCCCGUUGAUUGACGUCAAUCCCAGAUGAAGUCACGGCUAAAUAUGUGCCAGCAGCCGCGGUAAGACAUAUGUGGCGAGCGUUGUUCGGAAUUACUGGGCUUAAAGCGCGCGUAGGCGGUUCAGUCAGUUAAUUUGUGAAAUCCCCCGGCUUAACCGGGGAAUCGCGGUUAAUACUGCUGAACUCGAGUACAAGAGGGGAGAGUGGAAUUCUGGGUGUAGCGGUGGAAUGCGAAGAUAUCCAGGAGAAGGCCGGUGGCGAAAGCGACUCUCUGGCUUGAUACUGACGCUGAGGUGCGAAAGCGUAGGUAGCGAACGGGAUUAGAUACCCCGGUAGUCUACGCCGUAAAUGAUGGGCACUGGAUGGUGGAGGCGCUGAUAGCUUUCUCCGUCGAAGCAAAUGCGUUAAGUGCCCCGCCUGGGGAGUACGGUCGCAAGAUUAAAACUCAAAGGAAUUGACGGGGGCCCACACAAGCGGUGGAGGAUGCGGCUUAAUUCGAGGACACGCGUAAAACCUUACCGAGGUUUGACAUGUAGGGAUUAAUCCGGUGAAAGCCGGAGGAUUGCCUUACGGUGUAACCUACACAGGUGCUGCAUGGCUGUCGACAGUUCGUGUCGUGAGAUGUUAGGUUAAGUCCUGAAACGAGCGAAACCCCUGUGCUUAAUUGCCAGCGCGUUAUGGCGGGGACAUUAGGCAGACUGCCUCGGCUAACGGGGAGGAAGGUGGGGACGACGUCAAGUCAGCAUGGCCCUUAUACCUCGGGCUGCACGCGUCCUACAAUGGGCAGUACAAACAGGACCGAUCCCGCGAGGGGGAGGAAAUCUCUAAAGCUGCUCUCAGUUCGGAUUGCAGGCUGAAACCCGCCUGCAUGAAGGUGGAAUCGCUAGUAAUCGCCGGUCAGCUAUACGGCGGUGAAUCCGUCCCUGGGCAUUGUACACACCGCCCGUCAAGCCACCCGAGUUGGGCGCACUCGAAGUCCGAGACUCAACCGUUUACGGAGAGACCGGCCGAAGGUGAUCCUGAUGAGGUGGACUAAGU
rnacentral:rRNA from 1 species